rnacentral:rRNA from 1 species
CUACGGGGUGCUCCAGUGGGGAAUAUUGGACAAUGGGGGAAACCCUGAUCCAGCAAUGCCGCGUGUGUGAAGAAGGCCUGCGGGUUGUAAAGCACUUUCGGUUGGGAGGACUGCUUCUAGCACUAAUAUUGUUGGAAGUUGACGUUACCUUCAGAAGAAGCACCGGCUAACUCCGUGCCAGCAGCCGCGGUAAUACGGAGGGUGCAAGCGUGAAUCGGAAUUACUGGGCGUAAAGCGCGCGUAGGCGGCUAGAUCAGUCGGGUGUGAAAGCCCCGGGCUUAACCUGGGAACUGCAUCCGAUACUGUAUAGCUUGAGUACAGGAGAGGAGAGUGGAAUUCCACAUGUAGCGGUGAAAUGCGUAGAUAUGUGGAGGAACACCAAUGGCGAAGGCAGCUCUCUGGCCUGAUACUGACGCUGAGGUGCGAAAGCGUGGGGAGCAAACAGGAUUAGACACCCUCGUAGUC